AGUUUCCGAACUCCCAACCCACUGUGAACAUACCCUUACGUUGCUUCGGCGGGCGCCACGCCCGCCGAGGGACACGCAAACUCUUUUUUGAACCUGGAACUCUGAUUGCAUAAACAAAAAAAUGAAUCAAAACUUUCAACAACGGAUCUCUUGGUUCUGGCAUCGAUGAAGAACGCAGCGAAAUGCGAUACGUAAUGUGAAUUGCAGAAUUCAGUGAAUCAUCGAAUCUUUGAACGCACAUUGCGCCCGCCAGCAUUCUGGCGGGCAUGCCUGUUCGAGCGUCAUUACAACCCUCGCUGCCCCCUUCGGGGCGCGGUGUUGGGGGACGGCCCGGGCCCUUCGGGGCGGGGCCGCCCCCGAAAUGGAUCGGCGGCAACGGCGUCCGCCUCCCCUGCGUAGUAGCACAGCAUCUCGCAACGGGAGCGCGCCGCGGCCACUGCCGUAAAACGCACAACCUUUCAAGAGUUGACCUCGGAUCAGGUAGGAAUACCCGCUGAACUUAAGCAUAUCAAUAAGCGGAGGAAAAGAAACCAACAGGGAUUGCCCCAGUAACGGCGAGUGAAGCGGCAACAGCUCAAAUUUGAAAUCUGGCCCCAGGCCCGAGUUGUAAUUUGCAGAGGAUGCUUUUGGCGACGCGCCUUCCGAGUUCCCUGGAACGGGACGCCAUAGAGGGUGAGAGCCCCGUCUGGUUGGAUGCCGAGCCUCUGUAAAGCUCCUUCGACGAGUCGAGUAGUUUGGGAAUGCUGCUCUAAAUGGGAGGUAUAUGUCUUCUAAAGCUAAAUACCGGCCAGAGACCGAUAGCGCACAAGUAGAGUGAUCGAAAGAUGAAAAGCACUUUGAAAAGAGGGUUAAAUAGUACGUGAAAUUGUUGAAAGGGAAGCGCUUAUGACCAGACGUGGGCUCGGCGGAUCAUCCGGCGUUCUCGCCGGUGCACUUCGCCGGGUCCAGGCCAGCAUCGGUUCGCCGCGGGGGAGAAAGGCGUCGGGAACGUGGCUCCCUCGGGAGUGUUAUAGCCCGUCGCACAAUACCCGGGGCGGACCGAGGUCGC
rnacentral:rRNA from 1 species